rnacentral:lncRNA from 10 species
AAAAGAAGGAGGAAGUAACUUGCAGAAUGCUGAGAAAGAGCUGAGAUCUAACUGUGCUACCCAGCCUGGAGUCCAGUGGCUUUUCACAGGUGCAAGCAUGGCACACUACAGCCUCCUGGACUCAAGAGAUCCUCCGAACUCAGCCUCCUGAGUAGCUUGGACUCCAGGCAUACACCACUGCUCCCAGAAGAUUCUGUUAAUCCUUCAUCCGGGUCACCGCUAUCUGACCCAGCCCCCUGCUGCUGCCGUGCACAGACAGCACAUUCACUGCUGGAGGCUACUGUAAGAGGUUUG